UGAAAUUGUAACGGCCACUGGGAGUUUUAAUGUACUACAAUACUGGGCUGGAUGGGGCAAGAACCUUGAAAAAUGGCAACAGCAGAUUAAGCGCAUAAAAAUGGAACUCUUACAGCGCCGAGGACAUGGAGGACGUGCGGUAGAAAGGGAUGCCACGGAAAAUUGGAUUUGGGGUCCAAGUCCGGGAGCCGAAAUAAAAAUUAAGACGUCAUCAAAAUGCAAUUAAAAAACCAUUAAACGGAAUGAACCGGAUCCGGAUUCUCUGCCCGGCCGGGACCGGCAGAUGUUUUGCUCUUGUCUAGGAACAAUAACAGCAAAUAGAUUUAUUGUUGAUGGCAUUAUUAAAUUUUCUCCCUUUUUUCGCUCGCCCGCUCGCUCGUUGUUUUCGCUGUCAUAAUAAAAAGACCAAAGAUGAUAAGAGUGGGGUCCCAGUGCACAAACACACACACACACACACACAGUGAGAGAAGGUGGAAAGCCCCGGGUGUCCUGGCAUAUUGGACACUAAGGUGGCUAACGAUGAGCGGCGGUGGCAAGAACCAUCGCGAUGUCAAACCCCACGACAACAUCGCGCCCCCGGGUGAGCCACUCAACUGGGCUCUUAAAAGACCAGAAAGUAAAAAAAAAAAUAAAAUAAGUGAAAU
ensembl:ncRNA lncRNA:CR43818 long non-coding RNA:CR43818